rnacentral:rRNA from 1 species
UACGUGGGGUGCAAGCGUUGUCCGGAAUUAUUGGGCGUAAAGAGCUCGUAGGCGGUUCGUCGCGUCGGCUGUGAAAACCUGAGGCUCAACCUCAGGCCUGCAGUCGAUACGGGCGGACUUGAGUACUGCAGGGGAGACUGGAAUUCCUGGUGUAGCGGUGAAAUGCGCAGAUAUCGAGGAGGAACACCGGUGGCGAAGGCGGGUCUCGUGGGCAGUAACUGACGCUGGAGGAGCGAAAGCCGUUGGGGAGCGAACAGG